rnacentral:lncRNA from 1 species
UGUUCAGAGUUUUAAAAUACUCUGUUAAAUAUGUUUUAAAAAUCACACUCAUCAGGCCAAUUUACCACUUUUAGAGUGAAAGAUGGCAGAUUGUUGGAUCUUUGCUAUAUCAUGUGCCCACUCACCCACUCUGCUUUGUUUAAACCGCAGUUUGAAGAACAGUUUCAUCAUUUGUGACUUUUUUUCUUAGCUUUGGAAGUUAAAGUAUAAAAAUGCUGCACUGAGUUCCUGUUGUGGCGCAGCAGAAAUGAAUCUGACUAGGAUCCGUGAGGAGGGGAUUCCAUCCCUGCCCUUGCUCAGUGGGUCGGGGAUCCUGCGUUGCCAUGAGCUGAACUGUGGUGUAGGUCGCUGAGGUGGCUUGGAUCCUGGAUCCUGCGUUUCUGUGGCUGUGAUGCAGGCCAGCAGCUACGGCUCCUAUUUGACCCCCAGCCUGGGAACUUACAUAAGCCGCAGGUGCGUCCCUAAAAAGAUUAAAAAAAAAAAAUCUCAAUUUAUAUUUUUUCAGUUAAAUUGCUCACUUAAAACAAUGCCUGUUGUCAGAUCUGUGUUAUGUCUGGGGAAAUCGAGGCCAAAAAACACAAAGAUGUACUGUAGUUUAUUCACGGGGCAGUGUCAUUGUCAUCUCGUGAUAUCAUAGUAUGAGAAUGUUUUUCUGUGUUCGGACUCUGAUGGCUGACAAAAGCAGUCACAGAUGAGAUAAUUUAGAGACUCAGCUUUGUCAUCUGUAAAAUGGGGAUGAUAAUACCCAUUCUGACAUUUCCACAUGGUUUUUAUGAGGAUGGUAUGGAAUAUUUAUGUGAGCUAGCACUGUAAGUUAUCAAGCCUCAUAUGGCAGCUAUCUGGGGUGUAAUCAUCAUACAUUAAGAUAGCUAAGUGCCUUGACUUCAGUCUUUUCUUGCUCCCACACUCCUGUUUAGCACAGGCUCUUUAAGGAAUGUGUGUGUGUGUGAGACUUAGCCAGUCAUUCAUUUGAAUUGUUGUUAAACAUAAACAUCCUAGAUUGGCCAGACCAUAAUUUUAUCAGCACAGUGAGAGAUAUUAUUCUUUAAUUUGUUAAAAAAAAAUUACCUCCUGUAAAUCCUUACUUGAGCUGAACCUGCGGAAGUCAUUGUUCACAUUCAUAGUAUUCCAACUAUAGAUGAAAUUUAUUUUUAGUUAAUUUCUUUAGCUGUCCGUUCAACUAUGGGCUGUUCAGCUUUUUUUAUCUCAGUGGGAGAAAAAUAUGCAGCUUUUUAGAUGCAGUCUUAUCAGUGACCUAGAGAGGGACUAUUGUCUCUCUAGUAUGAUGUGAGCCUGGAAAUGCAACUCCAGAUCCUGCCUUGGAUAUAGUUCCUGGCAUGUCACACUGUUCAUUCACUUGAUCCCUCAGAACUUUAAAGCUCAUCUAAGUGGUGCCACUUUCCCAGUGUCUCCUUUUUUGAUGUCUCUGUAUGUGAAUUAAAUUUCUCUUAUACUUAUUAUCUACUGGGAAGAUAUAUCAGAGACAGCUUUUUACGGUCUGCCUCUUGGUUUCCUAGUUUUGAUUGGCCAGAAUCACUGAGUUCCUCAAUUCAUUAAAACUCCAAGUUCGAAACUAGAAUUAAUAAGUGGUCUCCAUAUAUCUGACUGUUGAUUUUCCUAGAUUGCAAGAUGUCGUUUUGUGUCUGGCCAACCCAGACGGGAAGAAGCAGGUCUGGCUGCUAUUUGAGCUUUGGCAUGUGUGCUGCUGACAGCUCUUCUCUUUGUAUUCAUAAAUG